AGUGUUUUCUCUGGUUGUGCCUCUUCUGCCUCUUCAAACCUCAGAGAACACUCAGGAAAAGCAGAUCUCACAAACUGAACUAUUCUGCUUCUCAGGAUGCUUGUUUUCUGUAAGAAGAUACUCUUACAGGUUUUUAACAGGUUUUUCAUCUAUGCUUUCUGAAAUCUACUGAGAUGUUAGCUUGAGCUGGAACAAAAAUAGUAACACUUUACUUUCUCACAUUCAUUGUUAGAAGCAAGGAGUGGAAAUGAGUAUUCUUUUGUUUGUGUUGAUGGCCUAAAUUCCUCAGUGUCAGAGGCUGAUCUAAGAUCACAUUUCCAGAAGUAUCAUAUUUGUGACAUUCUUGUAUUUGCGGAAUCUAAUAACUGCAGAUGUGCACUUAUUUCCUUUGAAGACAUUAGUAAAGCCAAGUUAGCUGUAGAGGAAAUGAACCAGAAAAAGAUAAAAGGAAAAGAAAUAACUAUUAAAAUUGUAAAUACUGUACCAGAGAGUAAAUAUGUGGUUUCCCAAGUGCUUAAAAAUACGCUUUUGCGUGACAUCCAACCUGCUGAGGAGAGUCAGAGAAAUGAUCAAAGUAACACACUCACUUCAGCCUCCAGUGCUGUGGAAGCCCCCGUCACUGCUUCUGCUUCUGAGAAGAUAACUUCUUCAAAAACCUCUUGCUCUACACAUGUACCUGCAGAAACAAAGUGCCCUGAUGGCAAACCAUCUACUGAAGAUCCUUAUUGGCUCGAAGUUAAAC